GAUGGAGGACGAGGCAGUACUGGAUAGAGGGGCUUCCUUCCUUAAACAUGUAUGUGAUGAAGAAGAAGUGGAAGGUCACCACACCAUUUACAUCGGGGUCCACGUGCCGAAGAGCUACAGGCGGAGGAGGCGUCACAGAAGAAGACCUGGGCACAAAGAAAAGAAAGAAAAGGAGAAAAUCUCGGAGAACUACUCAGACAAAUCAGACGUAGAAAACGCUGAUGAGACAAGCAGCAGCAUCCUUAAACCACUCAUCUCCCCCGCCGCCGAGCGCAUCCGCUUCAUCCUGGGAGAGGAGGAUGACAGCCCCGCGCCCCCGCAGCUCUUCACCGAGCUGGACGAGCUUCUGGCUGUCGAUGGACAGGAGAUGGAGUGGAAGGAGACUGCAAGGUGGAUCAAGUUUGAGGAGAAGGUGGAACAAGGUGGGGAGCGAUGGAGCAAACCGCACGUGGCCACCUUGUCCCUGCACAGCCUGUUUGAGCUGAGGACCUGCAUAGAGAAGGGCUCCAUCAUGCUGGAUAUGGAGGCCUCUUCCCUCCCACAGGUGGUGGAGAUGAUCGUGGACAAUCAGAUCGAGACGGGGCUGCUGAAGUCGGAGCUGAAGGACAAGGUCACCUACACGCUGCUCAGGAAGCACCGGCACCAGACCAAGAAAUCCAACCUGCGCUCGCUGGCCGACAUUGGAAAGACCGUCUCCAGUGCAAGUAGGAUGUUUUCCAACCCCGAUAAUGCACGCAGCCCGCUCGAGAGCUCCGUGCCCUGCCUGGCCACGCGCACGCUGGACGAUGAACUGGGAGUGCAGCGCAGCCCCAGCGUGGGAUGGCUCAGCAGCCCAGCCAUGGCUCACCGAAACCUGACUUCCACCAGCCUCAACGACAUCUCGGACAAGCCUGAGAAGGACCAGCUGAAGAACAAAUUCAUGAAGAAGCUGCCCCGUGACGCGGAGGCCUCCAACGUGCUGGUCGGGGAGGUGGAUUUCCUGGAGAGCCCCUUCAUUGCCUUUGUGCGGCUGCAGCAGGCGGUCAUGCUGGGAGCUCUCACCGAGGUCCCUGUUCCCACACGAUUUCUCUUCAUUCUGCUGGGACCAAAGGGCAAAGCCAAGUCCUAUCAUGAGAUCGGCCGAGCCAUUGCCACGCUGAUGUCGGAUGAGGUGUUCCAUGACAUUGCCUACAAAGCCAAGGACCGUCAGGACCUGAUUGCAGGCAUCGAUGAAUUUCUGGAUGAAGUCAUUGUGCUCCCCCCUGGGGAAUGGGAUCCAGCCAUUAGGAUAGAGCCCCCCAAGUCUCUCCCUUCUUCAGAUAAGAGGAAGAACAUGUACUCGGGCGGGGAGAACGUGCAGAUGAACGGGGACCCCCCCCACGACGGGGGGCACGGCGGCGGCGGCCACGGCGACUGCGAGGAGCUGCAGCGGACGGGCAGAUUCUGUGGGGGCUUGAUCAAAGACAUCAAGAGGAAAGCUCCGUUCUUCGCCAGCGACUUCUACGACGCUUUAAACAUCCAGGCCCUCUCAGCCAUCCUCUUCAUCUACCUGGCCACUGUCACCAAUGCCAUCACUUUUGGGGGACUGCUUGGGGAUGCUACGGAGAACAUGCAGGGCGUGUUGGAGAGCUUCCUGGGCACGGCUGUCACCGGUGCCAUAUUCUGCCUUCUGGCUGGUCAGCCCCUCACCAUCCUGAGCAGCACAGGGCCCGUCCUGGUCUUUGAGCGGCUCCUCUUCAACUUCAGCAAGGACAAUGGCUUUGACUACCUGGAGUUCCGCCUCUGGAUCGGCCUCUGGUCAGCCUUCCAGUGUCUCAUCCUCGUGGCCACCGACGCCAGCUUCCUGGUCAAGUACUUCACCCGCUUCACCGAGGAAGGCUUCUCUUCCCUGAUCAGCUUCAUCUUCAUUUAUGAUGCUUUCAAGAAGAUGAUCAAGCUGGCAGAUCAUUAUCCCAUCAACUCCCAGUUCAAGGUGGACUAUAUCACACAUUACUCUUGUGCCUGUAAACCACUAGAUCCAGUUAAUAGCUCAUUACUUAACAGGACAACGGUGCUGUCAGAUGAUGAGCUGGUCUCUCCCUCCUCUGAGCUGGACAACACCACCAUUGACUGGGCAGCUCUGACAGCCAAGGAGUGCUUGAAGUAUGGGGGUCAGCUGGUGGGCAACAACUGUGACUAUGUCCCUGACAUCACCCUCAUGUCUUUCAUCCUCUUCUUUGGCACCUACACCUGCUCCAUGGCCCUGAAGAAAUUCAAGACCAGUCGCUACUUUCCCACCACUGCCCGGAAGCUCAUCAGUGACUUUGCCAUUAUCCUGUCCAUUUUGAUUUUCUGUGGAAUAGAUGCCCUGGUUGGUGUGGACACACCAAAACUAAUCGUGCCAAGUGAAUUCAAGCCAACCAGUCCCGAGAGGGGCUGGUUCAUCCCACCUUUUGGAGGGAACCCGUGGUGGGUGUACCUGGCAGCUGCCAUCCCUGCCCUGCUGGUGACCAUCCUCAUCUUCAUGGACCAGCAGAUCACCGCCGUCAUCGUCAACAGGAAGGAGCACAAGCUCAAGAAAGGUGCUGGAUAUCAUCUGGAUUUGUUCUGGGUGGCCAUCCUGAUGAUUGUCUGCUCCUUUAUGGGGCUGCCCUGGUACGUGGCUGCUACCGUCAUCUCCAUCGCUCACAUCGACAGCUUGAAGAUGGAGACGGAGACUUCGGCCCCCGGAGAGCAGCCCAAGUUUUUGGGAGUGAGGGAGCAGAGAGUCACUGGAGUCAUUGUUUUCAUCCUGACCGGGGUGUCUGUCUUCAUGGCUCCCAUCCUGAAGUUCAUUCCCAUGCCUGUGCUCUACGGUGUCUUCCUCUACAUGGGAGUUGCAUCCCUCAACGGCGUGCAGUUCAUGGAUCGUCUGAAGCUGCUCUUGAUGCCUCUAAAACACCAGCCUGACUUUAUCUACCUGCGCCACGUGCCGCUGCGCAGGGUCCACCUCUUCACCUUCCUGCAGGUGGUGUGCCUGGCCCUCCUCUGGAUCCUCAAAUCCACCGUGGCUGCUAUCAUAUUCCCUGUCAUGAUCUUGGCCCUGGUGGCAGUCAGAAAAGCCAUGGACUACCUCUUUUCCCAGCAUGACUUAAGCUUUCUUGACGACGUCAUUCCAGAAAAGGACAAGAAGAAGAAAGAGGAUGAGAAGAAGAAGAAAAAGAAGAAGGGCAGUAUGGACAGUGACAAUGAUGAUUCUGACUGCCCCUACUCAGAAAAAGUCCCAAGUAUUAAAAUACCAAUGGACAUCAUGGAGCAGGAACCUUUCCUAAGUGAUAGCAAACCUGCUGACAGAGAAAAAUCACCAACAUUCCUUGAACGCCACACAUCGUGCUGAUACAAUUCCCUUCCUUCAAUCACACGCCAUGCCAAGCCCUCCACGAACUCCAGUAAAAGCUGUGCCUCAAAUUAGAAUAGAACUUGAGCCUGAAGACAAUGGUUAUUUCUGGAGGAGCAAGGGAACAGAAACUACUUUGUAAUUUGUCUGUCUGUCCAAUCUUUUCCAAAUUCCCUUUGUCACUAGCCAAAUGCUCAGAAGCUCCCUGUUCCGCCGGCGACGGUGACUGAGCCUCCCGCUGCCCCUCCCUGCCCUGCCCAGGACUGGGAAUCGCCUUCCCUGGCUCCCCAAGCAGCGAGGGAGGAGCGCUUCGGAUGUCACCUCCCCCGGGAAUGCCCGAGGCACCGGCUCCUGUCAGCCAGCCUUUGUCUGGCAGAGCAGAGCUGACCUCCAGGCUGGUUCCGUGUCUGCUCCCCCAUGCUGGAACGUGCUGCUAACCCUCAGCGCUCCCACCUGUAGCUAAAAGAGAAGGUACUUCACUCCCAGCACAGACAGACCAUUGCCAUCGCUGUAGCAUGUUUGGAAAUGUCCCUUUCCUAUGCAAUUUUUUUUUAAAGAAACACUUUAAUGGACUUAAUCUGUCAGGUACAUGGAAGAGUGUUAUUUUCCUAGAUUAUUUUGUUUAAAUUAUGGGGGCCUAACCUAUGACUUCUUUUUUUUUUUUUUUUGACAAUUUUUUAACCUUUUUUUAAUUACUGUAAAGAAAAAUGAAUUUUUUUCCUGCAGCAGGAAACGUAUAGUUAUGAGUAGUUCUACCUCUUAUUUCUAGAUGCCAGGCUUUCUGUAAAAAAAUGUAUUGUACCAUAUAUAAUGUGAUUUUUACAAAAAACAAACCCACGACAUCACACCACAAUCUCCAGGACGUGGCAUAGGGCUGGAUCAGUUCCAUUAACACCUUCUGCUCCGAAGCAUCUGUUUCUCUUAGGGUUAUGUUGGUUUUUGAAGUUUUUUUUUUUAUUGAGCAAUCCCUGCUGUGAAGGAGACUUAAAUCUCUUGUGAUCUUAGAAGAGUCUUCAAGGGGUGGUUGGUCCAACGCCGCAGACGGAUGCUGGUUGUAUCCCUGUUGUUGACUGCUGACGUGGGAUCCCUCCGUGAUUUUCUUGGAACGCCGGUGUGCGUGUGCAGUGAGAGGACCCGAGGUGUGCCUCAGGCACAGUGGACAAGGAGGAAGAUGAAGGUGGCCUGCUGGGAUGUUCAUCCUGACACCUGGAUUCACAAACUUCUGCAUCCUCCUGCAUCCCAUCAUCAUCUACAGAAUUUACCCUAAACCCCGGCUACUCAGCCCCAGAGCCGGCAGUGCAGCAAGAUAAGCGGGCCAGGCAAUGGACAUCCCAGGAUUUUGGGGUGGAACCAAGCGAGUGAACAUCACAGCAGGAGAGAGGAUUUUCCAGCAUGUUAAUAGUGGUAUGUGCAUCUACACAUGCAUCUGGGAAAUUUGGCUUCACCAGGACAUGAGGGAACACACUAAAAGCUUCAUCUAAAAAUGCAAAACAAGACAAGAAGAAAGAGUACCCCAGCUCUUGAGGUGGAUUCCCCAAUGGAGACAAUCCCAUCACAGAGGAUGGGCACAGGCUGCCACUUGGUCCUUGCAAAACCAAAGUCUGGGUUGGUGAAGUCAAGAGGAUUUUCUGAUGGUGCUGAGACCUCAAAUGCCAAAUUUUAGCAUCUGCUCCCACACAGGAGCCACCACCUCUGUACAGCCCCCGCUCGCUGUCCAGGGGUCUCCCCUUCAGUUUCCAUGACAUCUGUGUUGGGUGUCCCAGGAGCCCUGGGGUAUUUCCAGGCUGAAACCUGCUCUGAAAAUGCUGGGGAGACUUGGGAAAGGCCUGAAGAGGAGCAGCUUUGGGAUCCCUUCUGCUGCCAGAGGACAGCGCUGCCGACAGGACCGAGGGUUCUGCAGCUUUCCACGAGAAACACCCACCUGUGGCAGCAGGGAGGAGCCUGCAGCGUGACAGGGACAGGUUCUCUGCAGGCCGUACGCCUUGGCAAAGAACCGGAACGGCCUUUCAACCCUAAUUAGGUAUUUUGUCAGAAAAGCCUGGGUGGGCGCUUCAGGGUGUAAGUGUGGAGACUGACCCAGAGCCCUCCGAGAUCAGAGGCGGCCGUCAAAAACCACCUUCCCCAGCAGAGGCAGGGUCCAGCUCGGGGUGGGACGGGGGCGCGCUGCCCUCCCCGGGGCUCCCGCCCUUGGCAGCUGCAGCGAACCGAGCGCACUUGGAGAUACUCUCAUUGUUGGCUUGGAUUCCUGCGAGUCCUGUUUGCUUCGGAGGAGAGAAAUGAAAUGAAAUGAAGUGGAUCAGAUGGUGGAACUAAAAGGAAAAAAGCAGAAAACAUUUCAAACGUAUUAAAGUGAUUUUUUUUUUCCAGUAAUAUAAAACAUGAAAUUCCUUAUAACAUUAUAGUAUUUUACAGUUUUAUGAAGCUUUCUAUUGUGACUUUUAUGGAAUCAAAAGAUGAAGAUG